AACGAACGCUGGCGGCAUGCCUAACACAUGCAAGUCGAACGAGACCUUCGGGUCUAGUGGCGCACGGGUGCGUAACGCGUGGGAACCUGCCCUUAGGUUCGGAAUAACUCCCCGAAAGGGGUGCUAAUACCGGAUAAUGUCUUCGGACCAAAGAUUUAUCGCCUUUGGAUGGGCCCGCGUUGGAUUAGCUAGUUGGUAGGGUAAAAGCCUACCAAGGCGACGAUACAUAGCUGGUCAGAGAGGAUGAUCAGCCACACUGGGACUGAGACACGGCCCAGACUCCUACGGGAGGCAGCAGUGGGUAAUAUUGGACAAUGGGCGAAAGCCUGAUCCAGCAAUGCCGCGUGAGUGAUGAAGUCCUUAGGGUUGUAAAGCUCUUUUACCCGGGAUGAUAAUGACAGUACCGGGAGAAUAAGCUCCGGCUAACUCCGUG
rnacentral:rRNA from 1 species